rnacentral:rRNA from 1 species
CCUACGGGCGGCAGCAGUGAGGAAUAUUGGUCAAUGGACGGGAGUCUGAACCAGCCAAGUAGCGUGCAGGAUGACUGCCCUACGGGUCGUAAACUGCUUUUACACGGGAAUAACAUGUUCCACGUGUGGGGUUCUGCAUGUACCAUACGAAUAAGGGCCGGCUAAUUCCGUGCCAGCAGCCGCGGUAAUACGGAAGGCCCGAGCGUUAUCCGGUUUCAUUGGGUUUAAAGGGAGCGUAGGUGGGCGUUAAAGUCAGUGGUAAAAUUUCGCGGCUCAACCGAAAACUGCAGUUGAAACUGGAAGUCUUGAGUUCACAACAGGCAGGCGGAAUUCGUGGUGUAGCGGUGAAAUGCAUAGAUAUCACGAGGAACCCCGAUUGCGAAGGCAGUCCGCUGGGGUGCGACUGACACUGAGGCUCGAAGGUGUGGGUAUCAAACAGGAUUAGAUACCCCAGUAGUC